rnacentral:rRNA from 1 species
GAUGAACGCUGGCGGCGUGCUUAACACAUGCAAGUCGAGCGAGUGAGUUCUUCGGAACAAUCUAGCGGCGGACGGGUGAGUAACACGUGGGCAACCUGCCUCAUAGAGGGGAAUAGCCUCCCGAAAGGGAGAUUAAUACCGCAUAAAAUUAUCGAGUGGCAUCACAUGAUAAUCAAAGGAGUAAUCCGCCAUGAGAUGGGCCCGCGGCGCAUUAGCUAGUUGGUGAGGUAACGGCUCACCAAGGCGACGAUGCGUAGCCGACCUGAGAGGGUGAUCGGCCACAUUGGGACUGGGACACGGCCCAGACUCCUACGGGAGGCAGCAGUGGGGAAUAUUGCACAAUGGGGGAAACCCUGAUGCAGCAACGCCGCGUGAGUGAUGAAGGUCUUCGGAUUGUAAAGCUCUGUCUUUGGGGACGAUAAUGACGGUACCCAAGGAGGAAGCCACGGCUAACUACGUGCCAGCCGCCGCCGUAA